AACGAACGCUGGCGGCAUGCCUAACACAUGCAAGUCGAACGAGACCUUCGGGUCUAGUGGCGCACGGGUGCGUAACGCGUGGGAACCUGCCCUUAGGUUCGGAAUAACUCCCCGAAAGGGGUGCUAAUACCGGAUAAUGUCUUCGGACCAAAGAUUUAUCGCCUUUGGAUGGGCCCGCGUUGGAUUAGCUAGUUGGUAGGGUAAAAGCCUACCAAGGCGACGAUCCAUAGCUGGUCUGAGAGGAUGAUCAGCCACACUGGGACUGAGACACGGCCCAGACUCCUACGGGAGGCAGCAGUGGGGAAUAUUGGACAAUGGGCGAAAGCCUGAUCCAGCAAUGCCGCGUGAGUGAUGAAGGCCUUAGGGUUGUAAAGCUCUCUUACCCGGGAUGAUAAUGACAGUACCGGGAGAAUAAGCUCCGGCUAACUCCGU
rnacentral:rRNA from 1 species